rnacentral:SRP_RNA from 1 species
GCUGGGUGUGGUGGCUCACGCCUGUAAUCCCAGAACUUUGGGAGGCCGAGGCGGGUGGGUCACCUGAGGUCAGGAGUUCAAGACCAGCCUGACCAACAUGGUGAAACCCUGUCUCUA